UACCUGAACAUCUGCUGAAAAAAUGUGAAUGUGCUGAAGUGAAAUAAACAGCUUGUCAAAAUUUAUGGAUAUUGCUAGUAUUCAAUAAAAAUAAUAUUUGCCAUAAAAAAUGUAUGUUCUCAAAAAAAUUCGUAGAUAUGUUUUUAAAUAACUUGGGAUGUAGGCGUUGUCAAGUGUUUGAUCUGUUUCUAGCCUGAUCAAAUAAAAUAAAAUCAAAAUAAUUCCGUACAAGUUGGAACCAAUUUUAUAUCAACGUUUAGGUGAAAACAAAAGAUAUUUUCAAGAAAGUAUAUGAUUCAUAUGAGAGGAUAAUAAUUGUUUAAAUAAUGAAAAAAGGCUCUUAUAGUGUAUGGAAGCAUUAAAAAUGUUGUCUAUGGACUUAUCAAUAGAAAUUAGACAUCUACAGACAUUUGGUCCAUCAACGUGUGAAUAAAUAAAUAAAUCAUUAAAAUUAA